GGCGUGUGGGGCGCUUCCGCGCAGGCGCGGUGAGGCCUGUCUGACCGACCUUCAGCAGGGCCGGAAUCACCAUGUUUUCUCCGGUGGGCCUAGCAGGGCUGUCGGCCUGGGCCGUGCAGCCGCAAUGGAUCCAAGUUCGAAAUAUGGCAACCUUGAAAGAUAUUACCAGGCGACUAAAAUCAAUCAAAAACAUCCAGAAAAUUACCAAGUCUAUGAAAAUGGUAGCAGCAGCGAAAUAUGCCCGAGCUGAGAGGGAGCUGAAACCAGCCCGAGUGUAUGGAAUAGGAUCCUUGGCUCUGUAUGAAAAGGCUGAUAUUAAGGUGCCUGAAGACAAGAAGAAACAUCUCCUUAUCGGUGUGUCCUCAGACCGAGGGCUUUGUGGUGCUAUUCAUUCCUCGAUUGCUAAACACUUAAAGAAUGAGGUGGCCAAUCUCACAGCAGCUGGGAAAGAAGUUAAGAUUGUUGGAGUUGGUGAUAAACUCAGGAGUAUACUUCACAGGACUCAUUCUAACCAGUUUCUGGUGACAUUCAAAGAAGUGGGGAGAAGGCCCCCUACCUUUGGGGAUGCGUCGGUCAUUGCCCUUGAACUGUUAAAUUCUGGAUAUGAAUUUGAUGAAGGGUCUAUCAUCUUUAACCGAUUCAGGUCUGUCAUCUCCUACAAGACAGAAGAAAAGCCCAUCUUCUCCCUUGGUACCAUUGCAAGUGCUGAGAGCAUGAGUAUCUAUGAUGAUAUUGAUGCUGACGUGCUGCAGAAUUACCAAGAAUACAGCCUGGCCAACAUCAUCUACUACUCUCUGAAGGAAUCCACCACGAGUGAGCAGAGUGCCAGGAUGACGGCCAUGGACAAUGCCAGCAAGAAUGCUUGUAAGCGCUGAGAGAAUUCCCUUGCGGAAAGCAGCAUGAAGACCCUCACGUCAAAAGGCAUUAGCGAUUCUGGAAGUGGACCAGGAAGCAGGAGAGCUGGGGUCUAGUCCUGGGCUCUGCCACCGAUUCUCUGAGAUGAUUGACAAAUUGACUUUGACGUUCAAUCGCACCCGCCAAGCUGUCAUCACCAAGGAGCUGAUUGAAAUCAUCUCCGGUGCUGCGGCUCUGGACUAAUGAAAUUCGAGUUUCAUCCUCAGACAAGAGGUAAAGAAGAUUCAGCCAGCUGAUUUUGUUUUUAGCUUACUGCUGUCCUUGUCAGAAGAAAUUGUUGGUCCACUGUUUAAAUUAGUAAAGACAGCGAGAUAUUUGUAAAUUAUCUUACAAUAAAUGACUCAUCAUAAGAAAA